GGGAGGGACCGGGAUCGCACCGAGGCACACGGGCCGUGCCGUGCCAGCCUCGUGUCCCGCGGGGAGCUGCCCCGGGCCCCUCUGCCUGCCCGGGAGAGCCCCGCGCUUCUCCCAUGGUCACCGCAGCAGCUGCCCCCGGCUCAGGCGGUGUUCGGCCUCCAUCCGGGCAGCUCUUGAGGUUUUUCCUGCAUCUGGGAGUCAAGACUCUGGGUGGUUAAGGGAAGGAAUCAGCCUGUGGGGAUCUGGUUCCUGCUGUUCCCAGGAAAGGUGAUGCAUCUGCAAGAGCUUCGGCCUUUGGACUGCUCGCUAACCACACGUGUGUGUGUCCCAGCACGGAAGGGUGAAAUAUUUCUGUUCAUUCCCAAAUAAACGCUGACGUUUCAAUUGGCCGUGGCUCCAGAGAAUCCAGAACACUUUCUCGCUGGCAGUGUCACCGACCCCUCACCCGGGCUGAUCUGGGCUGUGUUUGCACUGGGGCUGUCACCAGAGCCUGGUCAGGAGAGGUGGGACCGGCCCUUGGCGUCACCAGAG